rnacentral:rRNA from 1 species
GACGAACGCUGGCGGCGUGCUUAACACAUGCAAGUCGAACGGAAAGGCCCUGCUUUUUUGGGGGGCUCGAGUGGCGAACGGAUGAGUAACAUGUGAGUAACCUGCCCUUGACUUUUGUAUAACUUCAGGAAACUGGGGCUAAUACCGGAUAGGAGCUCCUGCUGCAUGGUGGGGGUGGGAAAGUUUCGGCGGUUGGGUAUGGAGUCGCGGCUUGUCAGCUUGUUGGUGGGGUAGUGGCUUACCAAGGCUUUGACGGGUAGCCGGCCUGAGAGGGUGACCGGCCACAUUGGGACUGAGAUACGGCCCAGACUCCUACGGGAGGCAGCAGUGGGGAAUAUUGCACAAUGGGCGGAAGCCUGAUGCAGCAACGCCGCGUGCGGGAUGAAGGCCUUCGGGUUGUAAACCGCUUUCGCCUGUGACGAAGCGUGAGUGACGGUAAUGGGUAAAGAAGCACCGGCUAACUACGUG